ACACAUGCAAGUCGAACGGUAGCACAGAGAGCUUGCUCUCGGGUGACGAGUGGCGGACGGGUGAGUAACGUCUGGGAAACUGCCCGAUGGAGGGGGAUAACUACUGGAAACGGUAGCUAAUACCGCAUAACGUCGCAAGACCAAAGUGGGGGACCUUCGGGCCUCACACCAUCGGAUGUGCCCAGAUGGGAUUAGCUAGUAGGUGGGGUAAUGGCUCACCUAGGCGACGAUCCCUAGCUGGUCUGAGAGGAUGACCAGCCACACUGGAACUGAGACACGGUCCAGACUCCUACGGGAGGCAGCAGUGGGGAAUAUUGCACAAUGGGCGCAAGCCUGAUGCAGCCAUGCCGCGUGUAUGAAGAAGGCCUUCGGGUUGUAAAGUACUUUCAGCGGGGAGGAAGGCGGUGGAGUUAAUAGCUUCACCGAUUGACGUUACCCGCAGAAGAAGCACCGGCUAACUCCGUGCCAGCAGCCGCGGUAAUACGGAGGGUGCAAGCGUUAAUCGGAAUUUCUGGGCGUAAAGCGCCCGCAGGCGGUCUUUCAAGUCGGAUGUGAAAUCCCCGGGGUUAACCUGGGAACUCGCAUUAGAAACUGGCAGGUUAAAGUCUUGUAGAGGGGGGUAGAAUUUCCAGGUGUAGCGGUGAAAUGCGUAGAGAUCUGGAGGAAUACCGGUGGCGAAGGCGGCCCCCUGGACAAAGACUGACGCUCAGGUGCGAAAGCGUGGGGAGCAAACAGGAUUAGAUCCCCUGGUAGUCCACGCGGUAAACGAUGUCGACUUGGAGGUUGUUCCCUUGAGGAGUGGCUUCCGGAGUUAACGCGUUAAGUCGACCGCCUGGGGAGUCCGGCCGCAAGGUUAAAACUCAAAUGAAUUGACGGGGGCCCGCACAAGCGGUGGAGCAUGUGGUUUAAUUCGAUGCAACGCGAAGAACCUUACUUAUUCUUGACAUCCAGAGAAUUUAGCAGAGAUGCUUUGGUGCCUUCGGGAACUCUGAGACAGGUGCUGCAUGGCUGUCGUCAGCUCGUGUUGUGAAAUGUUGGGUUAAGUCCCGCAACGAGCGCAACCCUUAUCCUUUGUUGCCAGCGGUUCGGCCGGGAACUCAAAGGAGACUGCCAGUGAUAAACUGGAGGAAGGUGGGGAUGACGUCAAGUCAUCAUGGCCCUUACGAGUAGGGCUACACACGUGCUACAAUGGCGCAUACAAAGAGAAGCGACCUCGCGAGAGCAAGCGGACCUCAUAAAGUGCGUCGUAGUCCGGAUCGGAGUCUGCAACUCGACUCCGUGAAGUCGGAAUCGCUAGUAAUCGUAGAUCAGAAUGCUACGGUGAAUACGUUCCCGGGCCUUGUACACACCGCCCGUCACACCAUGGGAGUGGGUUGCAAAAGAAGUAGGUAGCUUAACCUUCGGGAGG
rnacentral:rRNA from 1 species